rnacentral:rRNA from 1 species
CCUACGGGAGGCAGCAGUGAGGAAUAUUGGACAAUGGGCGCAAGCCUGAUCCAGCCAUGCCGCGUGCAGGAAGAAGCAUCUAUGGUGUGUAAACUGCUUUUGUACGGGAAGAAACACCUCUACGUGUAGAGGCUUGACGGUACCGUAAGAAUAAGGAUCGGCUAACUCCGUGCCAGCAGCCGCGGUAAUACGGAGGAUCCAAGCGUUAUCCGGAAUCAUUGGGUUUAAAGGGUCCGUAGGCGGUUUGAUAAGUCAGUGGUGAAAGCCCAUCGCUCAACGAUGGAACGGCCAUUGAUACUGUCAGACUUGAAUUACUAGGAAGUAACUAGAAUAUGUAGUGUAGCGGUGAAAUGCUUAGAUAUUACAUGGAAUACCAAUUGCGAAGGCAGGUUACUACUAGUGGAUUGACGCUGAUGGACGAAAGCGUGGGGAGCGAACAGGAUUAGAUACCCUGGUAGUCCACGCCGUAAACGAUGGAUACUAGCUGUUGGGAGCAAUCUCAGUGGCUAAGCGAAAGUGAUAAGUAUCCCACCUGGGGAGUACGUUGCAGAAUGAAACUCAAAUGAAUUGAGG